rnacentral:sRNA from 1 species
UUUGUAUAAGCUAUGCCCCCACUAAAUAAAUUUUCUGGAUCCGCCACUGAUUUGUUUUAUUAAUAUUAUUUGCUUUGUUUAGUGUUUAAGAUAAUGUAUAUAUAGAUUUUAAUUGUUAUAUUUAGGAUUUCACCCGUAGUAUAUCGUUUUGUAUUACUAUCGAUCCAAACCCGUCAUACCAUCUAAUCCUGCACAGUGAAAUUAAACAUAUAUAAUGGAUUUCACUUGUGGUAUACCGUCUCGUAAUACUAUCGACCAAACCCGUCCUACCACUAACCCCGUUCGGUAAAAUUAGACAUUAUUUUGUUAUUUUUGUUUUAAUAAUACUUUAAUUUAAAAAAUAUUUA